CGCAAAACCUGAACCUAUAGGGGAGGGUCUGGGUGGAUGUUUGUCCGCGGUGGCGGCUCUGGCGCGGGACGUGGACUCCACUCCACCAUAGUCUUUCUCCGCCUCCUUAACCGCCUCCACGGCCUCUUCAGAGCGGCGACCCUCACCGCCGACCUCAGACUGGGGACCCUAGCCACGGGUCCGGAAUGGAUGGGAGAUUUUGCCAGUGCCGGAGUGAAGGAUGACUCCGGCAGCGCCGGACAGGCGGGAGACUCUGGCAGCGCCGGACAGGCGGGAGACUCCGACAGCUCCGGAGUGAAGGGCGAUUCCGGCAUCGCCGGCGUGACAGACGGCUCUGGCAGCUCCUGGCUGACUGACGUCUCUGGCAGCUCCUGGCUGACUGGGGGCUCAGGACAGAUUGGCGGCUCUGGCAGCUCAGGACAGACUGGCGGCUCUGGCGGCUCAGGACAAACUGGCGGCUCUGGCAGCUCAGGACAAACUGCCGGCUCUGGCAGCUCAGGACAGACGGGAGACUCUGGCAGUUCAGCACAGACGGGAGACUCUGGCAGCUCAGGACAGACGGGAGACUCUGGCAGCGCUGGGCAGGAGGAAGGUUCUGGCAGAGCUGGACAGGCGGAAGCACCUGUAGGGAGAAGACGGAGAGACAGCCUGGUGCGGGGGGCUGCCACCGGAGGGCUGGUGCAUGGAGGUGGCACCGGAUAGACCGGACCGUGAAGGCACACAGGAGCUCUUGAGCACCGAGCCUGCCCAACCUUACCUGGUUGAAUGCUCCCCGUAGCCAGGCCAGUGUGGCGAGGUGGAAUAGCCCGCACUGGGCUGUGCUGGCGAACCGGGGACACCAUGCGUAAGGCUGGUGCCAUGUACACCGGCCCGAGGAGACGCACUGUAGACCAGAUGCGCUGAGCCGGCUUCAUGGCACCUGGCUCGAUGCCCACUCUAGCCCGGCCGAUACGAGGCACUGCAAUGUACCGCACCGGGCUAUGCACACGCACCGGGGACACCUUGCGCCUCACGGCAUAACACGGUGCCUGCCCGGUACCACUCGCUCUCCGGUAAGCACGGGGAGUUGGCUCAGGUCUCCUACCUGACUUAGCCACACUCCCCGUGUGCACCCGCCCAAGAAAGUUUUGGGGCUGCCUCCUCAUAUCGCCGCCUCUCAGCUUUCGCUGCCUCCAGCUCUGCCUUGGGGCGGCGAUAUUCCCCAGCCUGUGCCCAGGGUCCUUUGCCGUCCAGGAUCUCCUCCCAUGUCCAGGAGUCCUGAGAUUGCUGCUGCUGCUGCUGCCCGUUACCAGGCUGCUUGGUCCUUGUUGGUGGGUGGUUCUGUAACGGCUGUUGUCGGGAGAAAGAGAGGACCAAGGUGCAGCAUGCUGUUCUUGCCAUAAUAUGGAGAAUGCCAAGAGUGUGCAGAGCCGCCAUCAAGGCAAAGUGCCGCUGAUAUUUAGCCAAAGGUAUAUAUAGUUUUUUGUGUGCUCUAGGGCAACGGUGUCUAGAAUGGAAUUUGUAUUUGUUGUCCUGACCUUUUUGGAACACCAUUAUUUUUGUCUUACUGAGGUUUACUGUCAGGGCCUUGGUUGGGGACAGAAGAACCAGGUCAUCAGUAGACAUUUGACUUCAGAUUCUAUUUGGGUGAGGCCGGAUGCUGCAGACUGUUCUUGUGCCCUCGCCAAUUCGUUGAUAUAUAUUUUGAAGAGGGUGGGGCUUAAGCUGCAUCCUUGUCUCACCCCACGACCCUGUGGAAAGAAAUGUGUGUGUUUUUUGCCCAUUUUAACCACACACAUUUUGUUUGUGUACAUGGAUUUUAUAAUGUGGUAUGUUUUUCACCCAACACCACUGUCCAUCAGUUUGUAUAGCAGACACUCAUGCCAAAUUGCAUCAAAAGCUUUUUUGAAAUCGACAAAGCAUGAUGCUCUCGAUGGCUAAAGAGAAAUGUUCCUGCACGUGUUCAAAGGGGCCCAUGUCUUUGUCUCCCUGCUGUGAAAACUGUUAUGUGACUUCCUUGGAGUCCAAAGGUAUGAACACUGAGCAUUAUGAUGGAAGCCUAUCCAGUCGAGGAAGGGAAUCUAUAUUUUGGAGAGGCAGCAGGGUGCACUGCAACUGUCUACACUGUCCCCUGGUUCCUGGUUAUUUUCCUUCCUAACAGGCAGAGGAUUGGGGCCUCAGAGGCAUUGGACACAGCUGAGUAGACUGGACAGGAAACAGUCGGCCUUACAAGGGAUUGAUCAAGUCAGCCCAGAGAGAGAACACACACAUGCACAUACACACACACCGCAGACUAUGAUUAAAAACCAGUUGUUCCUGAUCCAAUAAGCCAGGCUGAAAGAGAACUCUAAUUAAACAUAGGUGGCAUGGCAACGCUACACAUGUUGGGUUGUGUUAUGCCCUAUGACGAGCCAUGAACUAUGAACUGUUCUGUAUGUUUUGUUGCUGUAAUGAAUACCACUGCAAGGCCUGUGUGUUAGUGCUGUGUUACUGCUGUGUGUUCAUUUGCCUGAAUUUGUUUCUAGUCGGCCUAUAAACAGGCCAUGGCCACUGGCAUGUCUCUGGUGAUACUGAUAGAAAGAGUUAUCCUGACCUCUCUGCUGUGGCUGUACACUUAUCAUGAGCCAGGACACUCACACUGAGGAGAGGGUAGAGAGG
ensembl:lncRNA